UUCGCAUCCGAUCUUCAUCUGAUAUACAAACACUCGCCUUCGGCUAGAGUUUGUAUAUCAGAUAAAGAUCGGCUGCGAA